GAAACGACUGCUAAGACUGGAUAGGAGACAAGAAGGGCAUCUUCUUGUUUUUAAAGACCUAGCAAUAGGUAUGCUUAGGGAGGAGCUUGCGUCACAUUAGUUAGUUGGUGGGGUAAAGGCCUACCAAGACUAUGAUGUGUAGCCGGGCUGAGAGGUUGAACGGCCACAUUGGGACUGAGACACGGCCCAAACUCCUACGGGAGGCAGCAGUAGGGAAUUUUCGGCAAUGGAGGAAACUCUGACCGAGCAACGCCGCGUGAACGAUGAAGUAUUUCGGUACGUAAAGUUCUUUUAUUAGGGAAGAAUAAAUGAUGGAAAAAUCAUUCUGACGGUACCUAAUGAAUAAGCCCCGGCUAACUAUGUGCCAGCAGCCGCGGUAAUACAUAGGGGGCAAGCGUUAUCCGGAAUUAUUGGGCGUAAAGGGUGCGUAGGCGGUUAAAUAAGUUUAUGGUCUAAGUGCAAUGCUCAACAUUGUGAUGCUAUAAAAACUGUUUAGCUAGAGUAAGAUAGAGGCAAGUGGAAUUCCAUGUGUAGUGGUAAAAUGCGUAAAUAUAUGGAGGAACACCAGUAGCGAAGGCGGCUUGCUGGGUCUUUACUGACGCUGAGGCACGAAAGCGUGGGGAGCAAACAGGAUUAGAUACCCUGGUAGUCCACGCCGUAAACGAUGAGUACUAAACGUUGGGUAAAACCAGUGUUGAAGUUAACACAUUAAGUACUCCGCCUGAGUAGUACGUACGCAAGUAUGAAACUUAAAGGAAUUGACGGGACUCCGCACAAGCGGUGGAUCAUGUUGUUUAAUUCGAAGGUACCCGAAAAACCUCACCAGGUCUUGACAUGCUUCUGCAAAGCUGUAGAAACACAGUGGAGGUUAUCAGUUGCACAGGUGGUGCAUGGUUGUCGUCAGCUCGUGUCGUGAGAUGUUGGGUUAAGUCCCGCAACGAGCGCAACCCUUAUUGUUAGUUACCAGCACGUAAUGGUGGGGACUUUAGCAAGACUGCCAGUGAUAAAUUGGAGGAAGGUGGGGACGACGUCAAAUCAUCAUGCCCCUUAUGACCUGGGCUACAAACGUGAUACAAUGGCUGUUACAAAGAGUAGCUGAAGCGCAAGUUUUUGGCGAAUCUCAAAAAAACAGUCUCAGUUCGGAUUGAAGUCUGCAACUCGACUUCAUGAAGUUGGAAUCGCUAGUAAUCGCGAAUCAGCAUGUCGCGUGAAUACGUUCUCGGGGUUUGUACACACCGCCCGUCA
rnacentral:rRNA from 1 species